rnacentral:lncRNA from 1 species
CUCGAUUAAGUUGAUAAAGAAAGAAGAGAAAAAAGAAAGAAAAUGGAUGCAAUUAUUCUUCCAACACACCGUUUAAUAGUUAAUACCCAUGCUAUGUUAAGUUUCAUGUUUAUGGAAUCAACAACGGCAUUCCCAAUCCACGCAAGUCUCAAUCAGACUGUUUCUUUUAUCCUGUUAAGCACUUGGGUUGAGAAAAGGAGAGUAAAACUCUAGCUUAAUUCAAUUGGAAGAGGAUGGAUGUUUGAAAUGUGAGAUGUUACUACUCCAGUACGGAGUUGUCCAACAAAUAAAGAUGAGGUGCAUUGUCGUCUUAACUGUGGCAGAAACAGACUUCCCACUCCAUGUUGCAAAGGCCUGCUAUUCUUCUCACCAAUCCCAGUCUGCUCCUUCUGGCAUCCAUGGAGUUAACCACGUUAAUAACUUGGAUAUUGUCACUCUCAACCAUUACUUUGCGUUGGCCUCAAUCCCCUGUAAAUCUUUGCCCAUCAUAUAUUUUUUCAUUUAAUAUUAAUUAUUAUUUAAAAUAAAUUUAUUUUAAUAUAUGUUACUAAUCAAUAUAAAUAUAAUAUUAGGAUAAAUUUAUUUUAUAUUAAAUAUAAAUAUAAUUUUUAAUAUUUUUUAUAUAUAAUGAUUUUAAUAUAAUAUCGCUAAUAAUUAUUUUUACGAUUAAAUUUAAACACAUAUAAAGUGAUUUGUCCCUAAAAUAAUUAAUUUCACUACUUCCUUUAUUUUUAAUUUUUCAUUCAAUUCAACCGUUAAACUAAACAGACCAAAUAGAAUUAGACGUGAUUGCAGUAAUACUUGGCCCUUCAAAAAGGUGUAAGCAAAGUCGUCUCAUCAUCUCACAUGUUGCAAACCAUAUCAGAAGAAAACAAUAGACAUAUGCGUAAUAAUAAACAAAGACAACUUGUCCCUAUAAGAAGACCCUUUUUCUUUUUAUCUAUUUGCCAUUAGACUGUCUCUUUGGUCUUCACAAUUCAUACUCGUAUGAUUUGUCCAAUUGUGCUCCUGAAACAGAUAUGAAAAGUCAGACGGUCAAAUGCCAAAAUAAAAAAUAAUAAAAAAUCACAAAUGGGUCCAAUAAAAUAGUAGUAUUCUGCUAUUAACUUAAUCAGUUUGAUUACUAUGAUUAAUCUCGUGGAUCGUCAAACAUGACCUUUUUCUUGUUUAUUAGGAGAAAAAAAAUUAUUGUUUAGUUUCAGUCUAAACCCAUGUUGGCCGCUGUCUAUAUAAUCAUCCUCCUAUCUAAUAUACUCGUAAGCUAUCUUCAUCACAAAUUCAUUUCUCAAAUCAGCUUAGAGGUUUAUCCUUGCCUCUCCGACUGUAAUUAACCUGUUUUAAGUUGAGAAAUGGAUGUUUACAAGAGAGGUUUCAUAUCUGAAACUUCAAGAAAUGAAGAAGAGAUGGAGCUAAGGAAAGGUCCAUGGACUGAAGAAGAGGACUCCAUGCUUAAGGCGCAUGUCAAUAUCCACGGCGAAGGUCGCUGGAACGCUGUUGCUCGCUUAUCAGGUUAAUAUAUAUAGCGUAGUUUCUUUCCCUGGUUAUUGAAACAAAUUUGGUUUUAGCUUUUAUUCGUAAUUUCUCAGAGUAUGAAAUGAAAUGUGCGCAGGAUUGAGAAGAACCGGAAAAAGCUGCAGAUUGAGAUGGCUGAACUAUAUGCGACCAGAAAUCAAACGAGGAAACAUCAGCCUCGAAGAGCAGCUAUUGAUUCUUGAACUCCAUUCUCGCUGGGGCAACAGGUUUUUUGCUGGCUUUCCUCCUUCCUGCAAUUCAAUAAACAUAAGAAUGAUCUUAGGCUAAUCUUCUUUUGAAACUGUGAAGGUGGUCGAAAAUUGCACAACACUUGCCUGGAAGAACAGACAAUGAAAUAAAGAAUUAUUGGAGAACAAGAGUCCAGAAGCAGGCCAAGCAGCUUAACUGUGACGUUAAUAGCAAACAAUUCAAGGACGCCAUGCGUUACGUUUGGAUCCCCCGUUUAGUUGAACGGAUCCGUGCUUCAUCCGAGUCUCCCUCGAGUCAACCUUCUACCACCACCAAAACCACCUACAAUGAUUGUAUCAGCAACAUAAGCAGCAGUCAAAUGAGCUACGCAAAUGCGAGUGGGUCGGUCCAGGUUGACCCAAGUCUUCUGCCCGAAUUAUCAGGCACGUCAUCAGACUCCCUUGACACCCAAGUCUCUUCCGUUUCGGACCUGACCGAUUGUUACAAUCCACAGAGCCUUUCAAACUACUUACACAAGGGGUUAGGUUUGGAAAAGGAGGGAGCGGCCACAUGGGGCAGAGAUGAAGAAUUCCAGGCGACAGAGGAGCAUAGCAAUGGUUUGUUGGUUGGUGGUGGGGAGUCAUCGAUGG